rnacentral:rRNA from 1 species
UCAGCGUGGCUACUGUGCCGCGUGGUGAAUGGCUCGGCUCGAGUGCCGACGAAGGACGUGCCAAGCUGCGAUAAGCCUCGGGGACCCGCACGGAGGGGUGGAACCGAGGAUUUCCGAAUGGGAAUCCCCACAGCAAUUGCUUCGCGCAAUGGGGAACGUCCGGAACUGAAACAUCUUAGUACGGACAGGAAAAGAAACCGAAUGGGAUGUCGUUAGUAACGGCGAGUGAACGCGGCGUAGUCCAAACCGAAGCCUUCGGGCAAUGUGGUGUAUGGGCUGGCCGUAAUCGGUUGAUUGACUACGAGAAGUCUUCUGGAACGGAGCGCGAUACAGGGUGACAGCCCCGUAUCGUAGUCAGUCGACCGUGGGCCGGUUCCCUGAGUAUCGGGGGUCGGAAAUCCCUCGUGAAGAUGGCAGGCAUCUACUGCCAAGACUAAAUACUACUCGAGACCGAUAGUGGACAAGUAGCGUGAGUGAACGCUGAAAAGCACCCUGAGAAAGGAGGUGCAAUAGGGCCUGAAAUCACGCGGUGAUGGAGCGAUGGAGCGUACAAGGCCGAUCGUGAAACGACGUGAGGGCGAUCUCACUGUAGGAAGCGAUCGGAGCCGACGUUCCAUCGUACGUUUUGAAAAACGAGCCAGGGAGUGUGUCUGUAUGACGAGUCUAACCCGUUCAUCGGGGGAGGCGUAGGGAAACCGACAUGGCUGCAGGAUGUGGCUUUGCCACGUUCCAGGGCCGCCGUGUUCAAGCGCGGGGAGUCAUACGGUCACGACCCGAAACCGGGCGAUCUACGCGUAGGCAAGGUGAAGCAUGGCGAAAGCUAUGUGGAGGCCUGUUAGAGUUGGUGUCCUACAAUACCCUCUCGUGAUCUACGUGUAGGGGUGAAAGGCCCAUCGAGCCCGGUAACAGCUGGUUCCGAUCGAAACAUGUCGAAGCAUGACCUCUGCCGAGGUAGUUUGUCGGGUAGAGCGACCGAUUGGGGUGACCGCCUCCGAGAGGAGUCGGCACCCCUGUCGAACUCCGAACUGACAGACGCCAUUGACGCAGGGAGUCCGGUGUGCGGGGUAAGCCUGUGCACCAUGAGGGAGACAACCCAGAGCUGGGUUAAGGUCCCCAAGUGUGGACUAAGUGCAAUUGAAGGUGGUCUCGAGCCAUAGACAGCCGGGAGGUGAGCUUAGAAGCAGCUACCCUCUAAGAAAAGCGUAACAGCUUACCGGCCGAGGUUUGAGGCGCCCAAAAUUAUCGGGGCUCAAGUCCACCACCGAGACCUGGCGGCACGCGUUACAGCGUGAUUCCGUAGAUCGGCGCUCCGGUUGGAUGGAAGCGCGGGGGAGACUUCGUGUGGACCGACCGGUGACGAAAAUCCUGGCCAUAGUAGCAGCGAUAGUCGGGUGACAAUCCCGACGGCCGAACGGACAAGGGUUCCUCAGCAAUGAUCGUCAACUGAGGGUUAGCCGGUCCUAAGUCUCGUCGUAAUUCGAGCGAGACAAAUGGGAAACUGGUUAAUAUUCCAGUGCCGUUGUGCAAUGAACGUCGACGCUUUAGGGUCGUCCGAGCCGGGCCAUCGCCCGGUCGAACCGUCAAAGUUCGUGGAAGCCGUAAUGGCACGAAGCGAACGAACGGCGGGAUAGGGAAACUCGGAUCAACCUAGAGCCCGUGAAAAGACAAGCACAACGUCCGUACCGAGAUCCGACACAGGUGUCCGUGGCUGAAAACGCCAAGGCCUGUCGGGAACAACCGACGUUAGGGAAUUCGGCAAAUUAGUCCCGUAAGUUCGCGAUAAGGGAUGCCUGCCCUGGAAAGGGGCAGGCCGCAGUGACCUAGACGCUCCGACUGUCUAGUAACAACAUAGGUGACCGCAAAUCCGCAAGGACUCGUACGGUCACUGAAUCCUGCCCAGUGCGGGUAUCUGAACACCUAGUACAAUAGGACGAAGGACCCGUCAACGGCGGGGGUAACUAUGACCCUCUUAAGGUAGCGUAGUACCUUGCCGCUUCAGUAGCGGCUUGCAUGAAUGGAUCAACGAGAGCGUCACUGUCCCAACGUUGGGCCCGGUGAACUGUACGUUCCAGUGCGGAGUCUGGAGACCCCCAAGGGGAAGCGAAGACCCUAUAGAGCUUUACUGCAGGCUGUCGCUGGGACAUGGCCGCUGAUGUGCAGCAUAGGUAGGAGUCAUUACCCAGGCGUCCGCUGCUAGCGGACCGCCGAGACAUCAGUGAAAUACUACCCGUCAGUGGCUGUGACCCUCACUCCGGGAGGAAGACACCGAUAGCCAGGCAGUUUGACUGGGGCGGUACGCGCUCGAAACAAUAUCGAGCGCGCCCUAAGACCAUCUCAUCCGGGUCAGGAAUCCGGAGAAGAGCGCAAGAGCAAAAGAUGGUUUGACAGUGUCCUGCCUAACGAGGGACGCUGACGCGAAAGCGUGGUCUAGCGAACCCAUUAGUCCCGCUUGAUGCGGGCAAUGGCUGACAGAAAAGCUACCUUAGGGAUAACAGAGUCGUCACCGGCAAGAGUACAUAUCGACCCGGUGGCUUGCUACCUCGAUGUCGGUUCCCUCCAUCCUGCCCGUGCAGCAUCGGGCAAGGGUGAGGUUGUUCGCCUAUUAAAGGAGGUCGUGAGCUGGGUUUAGACCGUCGUGAGACAGGUCGGCUGCUAUCUAUUGGGGGUGUUUGGUGUCUGAUGUGAACGGCCGUAUAGUACGAGAGGAACUACGGUUGGUCGCCACUAGUGUACCGGUUGUCCGAGAGGGCAUGUGCCGGGCAGCUACGCGACACGGGGUAAGGGCUGAAUGCAUCUAAGCCCGAAACCCACAUAGAAAAGAGACACCGCUGAGACCACUCGUAGAAGACGAGUUCGAUAGACUCGGGGUGUACGCACCGAGGCAACGAGGUGUUCAGCCCGCGAGCACUAACUGGUCGACGCCACUCAUU